GAUGAAGAACGUAGCGAAAUGCGAUACUUGGUGUGAAUUGCAGAAUCCCGUGAACCAUCGAGUCUUUGAACGCAAGUUGCGCCUGAAGCCAUUAGGCCGAGGGCACGCCUGCCUGGGCGUCACACGUCGUUGCCCCCCCAUCUACUCCUUCGGGAUUGCGGGGGGCGGAUGAUGGCCUCCCGUGCGCCUCGUCGCGCGGUUGGCAUAAAUGCCAAGUCCUCGGCGACGCACGCCACGACAAUCGGUGGUUGCGAAACCUCGGUUGCCCGUCGUGUGCGGUCGUCGCGCAUCGAGGGCUCGAAAAAAUUGCCGGGCUCCGGCUCGGCUUUCAACGCGACCCCAGGUCAGGCGGGGUUACCCGCUGAAUUUAAGCAUAUCAAUAAGCGGAGGA
rnacentral:misc_RNA from 1 species